rnacentral:rRNA from 1 species
ACGGGGGGAGCAAGCGUUGUUCGGAUUUACUGGGCGUAAAGGGCGCGUAGGCGGUCAGCACAAGUCAGUUGUGAAAUCUCCGGGCUUAACUCGGAAAGGUCAACUGAUACUGAGCGACUAGAGUGCAGAAGGGGCAACUGGAAUUCUCGGUGUAGCGGUGAAAUGCGUAGAUAUCUGGAGGAAUACCGGUGGCGAAGGCGGCAUCCUGGACCGACAUUGACGCUGAGGAGCGAAAGCCAGGGGAGCAAACGGGA